rnacentral:rRNA from 1 species
GACGAACGCUGGCGGCGUGCUUAACACAUGCAAGUCGAACGGAAAGGCCCUGCUUUUGUGGGGUGCUCGAGUGGCGAACGGGUGAGUAACACGUGAGUAACCUGCCCUUGACUUUGGGAUAACUUCAGGAAACUGGGGCUAAUACCGGAUAGGAGCUCCUGCUGCAUGGUGGGGGUUGGAAAGUUUCGGCGGUUGGGGAUGGACUCGCGGCUUAUCAGCUUGUUGGUGGGGUAGUGGCUUACCAAGGCUUUGACGGGUAGCCGGCCUGAGAGGGUGACCGGCCACAUUGGGACUGAGGUACGGCGCAGACUCCUACGGGAGGCAGCAGUCGGGAAUAUUGCGCAAUGGGCGGAAGCCUGAUGCAGCAACGCCGCGUGCGGGAUGACGGCCUUCGGGUUGUAAACCGCUUUCGCCUGUGACGAAGCGUGAGUGACGGUAAUGGGUAAAGAAGCACCGGCUAACUACGUG